rnacentral:misc_RNA from 1 species
UUGAAUAUUCUCGAUGGGUUGUAGCUGGCUCCUCGGAGCAUGUGCACGCCUGUCUUGACUCUAUUCAUCCACCUGUGCACCUAUUGUAGUCUCAUUCGAGGGUAGUCGGUCGUCAAGACCGGAUGUGGGGGGAUGCAGCGCGAAAGUGCGGCACCUCUCUGGCUCUCGGUGGACUAUGUCUUUAUUCAUAAACCAUGUAGUAUGUUGCAGAAUGUAUUCAAUGGGCCUUUGUGCCUAUAAAAACCUUUA